rnacentral:rRNA from 1 species
AACGAACGCUGGCGGCAUGCUUAACACAUGAAAGUCGAACGGGCCCUUCGGGGUUAGUGGCGGACGGGUGAGUAACGCGUGGGAACCUGCCCUGGGGUGGGGGAUAACCGCUGGAAACGGCGGCUAAUACCGCAUGUGCCUUGAGGGGCAAAGGUCUUUAUGGCCGCCUUGGGAGGGGCCCGCGUCUGAUUAGCUUGUUGGCGGGGUAAUGGCCUACCAAGGCUUCGAUCGGUAGCUGGUCUGUGAGGAUGAUCAGCCACACAGGUACUGGGACACGGCCCAGACUCCUACGGGAGGCAGCAGUGGGUAAUAGUGGACAAUGGGGGCAACCCUGAUCCAGCAAUGCCGCGUGAGUGAAGAAGGCCUUAGGGUUGUAAAGCUCUUUCGCCCGUGACGAUGAUGACGGUAACGGGAGAAGAAGCCCCGGCUAAUUCCGUGCCAGCCGCCGCGGUAAAAC